GAUGAAGAACGUAGCGAAAUGCGAUAAGUAAUGUGAAUUGCAGAAUUCAGUGAAUCAUCGAAUCUUUGAACGCACAUUGCGCCCGCCAGUAUUCUGGCGGGCAUGCCUGUUCGAGCGUCAUUUCAACCCUCAGGCCCCCAGUGCCUGGCGUUGGGGAUCGGCGUGGGCGGCGACGGCUCUCCGGAGCCCGAGCCAAUGCCUGCCGGCCCCGAAAUUCAGUGGCGGUCUCGCUGUAGUCCCCCCCUGCGUAGUAGCACAACUCGCAUUGGAGCUCGGCGGUGGCCAUGCCGUAAAACACCCCACUUCUGAAAGUUGACCUCGGAUCAGGUAGGAAUACCCGCUGAACUUAAGCAUAUCAAUAAGCGGAGGA
rnacentral:misc_RNA from 1 species